rnacentral:rRNA from 1 species
CCUACGGGGGGCUGCAGUGGGGAAUAUUGGGCAAUGGGCGAAAGCCUGACCCAGCAACGCCGCGUGAGGGAAGAAGGUUCUCGGAUUGUAAACCUCUGUCCUUGGGGAAGAAAAAAAUGACGGUACCCAGGGAGGAAGCCCCGGCUAACUACGUGCCAGCAGCCGCGGUAAUACGUAGGGGGCAAGCGUUGUCCGGAAUUACUGGGCGUAAAGGGUGCGUAGGCGGUUGCCUAAGUCAGAUGUGAAAUCCCCGGGCUUAACCCGGGUGGUGCAUUUGAAACUGGGUGACUAGAGUGCAGGAGAGGGAAGCGGAAUUCCUAGUGUAGCGGUGAAAUGCGUAGAUAUUAGGAGGAACACCAGUGGCGAAGGCGGCUUUCUGGACUGUAACUGACGCUGAGGCACGAAAGCGUGGGGAGCAAACAGGAUUAGAUACCCCGGUAGUC